rfam:Janibacter hoylei PVAS-1 Contig110, whole genome shotgun sequence.
GCUCAAGUUUUUAAGGGCGCACGGUGGAUGCCUUGGCACCAGGAACCGAAGAAGGACGUAGGAAUCUGCGAUAAGCCUCGGGGAGUCGAUAACCAGACUUUGAUCCGAGGAUUUCCGAAUGGGGAAACCCGGCUGGAGGCAAGUCCAGUCACUCCUGCCUGAAUAUAUAGGGCAGGUAGAGGGAACGCGGGGAAGUGAAACAUCUCAGUACCCGCAGGAAGAGAAAACAAUAGUGAUUCCGUGAGUAGUGGCGAGCGAAAGCGGAUGAGGCCAAACCGGGUCUGUGUGAUAGCUGUCAGGCGUUGCAGGUCCGGGGUUGUGGGAGCUUUUUCACGAUGCUGACAUGUCGUGGUGGAGUAAAAAAUCUUUGUCAUAGUCGAAGGGUCUUGAAUGGCCCGGCACAGAGGGUGCGACCCCCGUAGACGAAAUGGCGUGGACUCCAUGGAAGAUUUCCCAAGUAGCACGGGGCCCGAGAAAUCCCGUGUGAAUCUGGCGGGACCACCCGCUAAGCCUAAAUAUUCCCUGGUGACCGAUAGCGGACAAGUACCGUGAGGGAAAGGUGAAAAGUACCCCGGGAGGGGAGUGAAAUAGAUCCUGAAACCGUGCGCUUACAAUCCGUCGGAGCCUCCUUGUGGGGUGACGGCGUGCCUUUUGAAGAAUGA